GACGAACGCUGGCGGCGUGCUUAACACAUGCAAGUCGAACGGGUCUGCCCUGUUUUUUGCGGGGUGGGUCAGUGGCGAACGGGUGAGUAACACGUGAGUAACCUGCCCCUCACUUCUGGAUAACCGCUUGAAAGGGUGGCUAAUACGGGGUGUUCUGGCUGUGCCGCAUGGUGUGGCUGGGAAAGAUUCACUUUUGUGGUGUUUUGGUGGGGGAUGGGCUCGCGGCCUAUCAGCUUGUUGGUGGGGUGAUGGCCUGCCAAGGCUUUGACGGGUAGCCGGCCUGAGAGGGUGGGCGGUCACACUGGGACUGAGAUACGGCCCAGACUCCUGCGGGAGGCAGCAGUGGGGGGUAGUGCACAAUGGGCGGAAGCCUGAUGCAGCGACGUCGCGUGAGGGAUGGAGGCCUGCGGGUUGUGAACCUCUUUCGCCGGUGAAGAAGGUCCUGCUCUUUGUGGUGGGGUUGACGGUAGCCGGGUUAUGAAGCGCCGGCUAACUACGUG
rnacentral:rRNA from 1 species